UUCCGGUUGAUCCCGCCGGAGGCCGCUGCUAUCUGGCUGAGACUAAGCCAUGCUAGUCCAGGGGUCAGUUCUCCUUGCGAGAACUGGCACCGGCGGACGGCUCAGUAACACGUGGACAACCUGCCCUCGGGUGGGGGAUAACCCCGGGAAACUGGGGCUAAUACCCCAUAGGUCAUGGGUACUGGAAUGUCCCAUGACCGAAAGCGCUAGCGCCCGAGGAUGGGUCUGCGGCGGAUUAGGUAGUUGGUGGGGUAACGGCCCACCAAGCCGAAGAUCCGUACGGGCUGUGAGAGCAGGAGCCCGGAGAUGGACCCUGAGACAAGGGUCCAGGCCCUACGGGGCGCAGCAGGCGCGAAAACUUCGCAAUGCGGGAAACCGCGACGAGGUCAGCCAGAGUGUCCGUGCAUUGCGCGGGCUGUCCGGGUGCCUAAAAAGCACCCGACAGCAAGGGCCGGGCAAGGCCGGUGGCAGCCGCCGCGGUAAUACCGGCGGCCCGAGUGGCGGCCACUUUUAUUGGGCCUAAAGCGUCCGUAGCCGGCCCAGUAAGUCCCCCGGGAAAUCUGGUUGCUCAACAAUCAGACCUCCGGGGGAUACUGCUGGGCUAGGGACCGGGAGAGGCCGAGGGAAUUCCCGGGGUAGGGGUGAAAUCCUGUAAUCCCGGGAGGACCACCUGUGGCGAAGGCGCUCGGCUAGAACGGGUCCGACGGUGAGGGACGAAGGCCUGGGGAGCGAACCGGAUUAGAUACCCGGGUAGUCCAGGCUGUAAACGAUGCGGGCUAGGUGUCACCAGAGCCACGAGCUCCGGUGGUGCCGGAGGGAAGCCGUUAAGCCCGCCGCCUGGGAAGUACGGCCGCAAGGCUGAAACUUAAAGGAAUUGGCGGGGGAGCACUACAACGGGUGGAGCCUGCGGUUCAAUUGGAUUCAACGCCGGG
rnacentral:rRNA from 1 species